rnacentral:lncRNA from 1 species
AAACUUGAACCCAAUUAAGUAUGCAAUAUAAAAAAUAUAGCAUCUUGAAUUUGUUCAUUAAUAUGUGGAUCAAGUUUUUGGUACCAAUUAUUGCACAAAGUCAUGUUAGAUUGAGGUCCAAUUUGUUAAUUAGGGACGCUACUUAGCUGCUGCUAUACCAAGGAUAGCUGCUAUUUUUUAGACUUGGCAAGACUCAAGUUAUGGAGGGG